GGCUAAGGCUGGAGGUUAUUUAUUGAUUUAUUUUUUCAGCCAGAAAGCAACCAAGUUAACACCUUGCUUGUCGCCACAGGGCGACAGAAAAACAAGAGAGAGAAAGGGAGGGAUGGGGGCAGGUGGGAGA